rnacentral:RNase_P_RNA from 2 species
GCGGAUGGCUGGAUGACCGCGGGCGCCCUUGCGGCGUUCGAGGAAAGUCCGGACUCCAACAAGCACGGUGCCGGGUAACGCCCGGCCGGGGAAACCCGAGGGAAAGCGCCACAGAAAAGAAACUACCCUGCAUGUCGGGGUAAAGGUGAAACGGUGGGGUAAGAGCCCACCGCGGGACUGGCAACAGGACCGGCAUGGCAAGCCCCACCGGGAGCAAUGCCAAAUAGGGACCCCGCGCGGGAGCAUGGUCCAGAGCAAUCUGGAUAUCGCCGUAGGGAUGCUUUAGCCCGAGGGGUCCGGGUUGGCAGCUAGAGGUGUCAUGGUAACAUGGCGCUAAGAUGAAUGGUCAUCCACGGGGGGAAACCCCCUGGACAAAAUCCGGCUUAUAGGCUGUCCGCGCAG